rnacentral:piRNA from 1 species
GCAUCACAAGUAUUAGAGGCAAUGCCUGCC